UCGAGUUUAAAGGCGCCCGUACCGUAAACCGACACAGGUGGGUGAGGAGAGUAUCCUAAGGCCAGCGAGAGAACUAUUGUUAAGGAACUCGGCAAAAUGACCCCGUAACUUAGGGAGAAGGGGUGCCUGUCUAUGACAGGCCGCAGAGAAUAGGCCCAAGCGACUGUUUACCAAAAACACAGGUUUCUGCUAAGUCGCAAGACGAUGUAUAGGAGCUGACGCCUGCCCGGUGCUGGAAGGUUAAGGGGAUCUGUUAGAGCAAUCGAAGCAGUGAACUUAAGCCCCAGUAAACGGCGGCCGUAACGAUAACGGUCCUAAGGUAGCGAAAUUCCUUGUCGGGUAAGUUCCGACCCGCACGAAAGGCGUAACGAUUUGGGCACUGUCUCAACAAUAGACUCGGUGAAAUUGUAAUCCCGGUGAAGAUGCCGGGUACCUGCGACAGGACGGAAAGACCCCAUGGAGCUUUACUGUAGCUUGAUGUUGGGUCUUGGUACUACAUGUACAGGAUAGGUGGUAGACUAUGAAGCAUGGACGCCAGUCUGUGUGGAGUCAUCCUUGGGAUACCACCCUUGUAGUACUGGGAUCCUAACCAUAGGCCUUGAAUCAGGUCUUGGAACACCGUCAGGUGGGCAGUUUGACUGGGGCGGUCGCCUCCUAAAAAGUAACGGAGGCGCUCAAAGGUUUCCUCAGCACGGUCGGAAAUCGUGCGAAGAGUGUAAAGGCAAAAGGAGGCUUGAUUGCAAGACAUACAGGUCGAGCAAGGACGAAAGUCGGACUUAGUGAUCCGGUGGUACCGCAUGGAAGGGCCAUCGCUCAACGGAUAAAAGCUACCCUGGGGAUAACAGGCUUAUCUCCCCCAAGAGUCCACAUCGACGGGGAGGUUUGGCACCUCGAUGUCGGCUCAUCACAUCCUGGGGCUGUAGUAGGUCCCAAGGGUUGGGCUGUUCGCCCAUUAAAGUGGUACGCGAGCUGGGUUCAGAACGUCGUGAGACAGUUCGGUCCCUAUCCGUCGCAGGCGUAGGAAAUUUGAGAAGACCUGUCCUUAGUACGAGAGGACCGGGAUGGACGUACCUCUGGUGUACCAGUUGUUCUGCCAAGGGCAUGGCUGGGUAGCUAUGUACGGAAUGGAUAAGCGCUGAAAGCAUCUAAGCGCGAAGCCAACUUCAAGAUAAGAUUUCCCACCGUAAGGGUAAGACCCCAGGGAGACUACCUGGUUGAUAGGUCGA
rnacentral:rRNA from 1 species